AUGACCUUGAAAUAAUGAUACUUCGUGAGACUCUUCUCUGUCUUUCUGGAGCAGUUCGUUCUGGUUUUCCCCGCUUUUGAGCGUUUGCGAGCUCUGCCAAUACGUGAAGAAAGAGCUUGUCAUCAGCCAAUCAUUGUCCGCAUUUUGUAUUCGUGAAUUAUAUAAGCUAUUCCUGAGGAUCUUUCUCGUAUGGUUGUAGCCUCAAUAUAAUGCACUGAUUGGACGGCGAUUGUGACAAACAGGCUGUUUCUCCGUAUGAGUCCGAGUUGGUGCGCUUGAGUGUCGUGUUAAAAAGAGUUUACUUUGUGAAAGUUUUUUUUUGAUGCACAUGGCGUUGUGGAACAGCUGUUUCUGCUUCUAGAGUAUAAUAUUUUUGCGAUUGCACUCGUCUUGUAGUCCCCGCACUGACUUUUAUUGCGGAGAAAAUCAAAGAAAAGAUCGCGUUGCCACUCCCUUACCCUGUGCAAAGCGUUUUUUAAUUGCAUAGUUUUUAUCUUUUACUUUCGAGAUCUCGUCUGUGGAAACUUCUAGCGCCCCGAAGGAGAGCUUGUGAUAGAGCACAGCAGUGUGCGGAUUUCUCAACAGGCUCUGAUCAGAAAAUGAAACUCUUUCCGAACGCGUUAGUGCUCCGGAGUCGAGGUUAGGCUGCUGCUGCGCCAGAACAGAGACGGUUGUUUUUACCUGCUUUGUCUCCGUUAAGCUGUACUUCCACGCCUGUCCGUACAAGAAAAAACUUUAAUUUUGCAUAAACUCUUAUUGCCUUAGAGCAGGAGCCCACGCGAAACACAUUUUGUAAAGCUUUAAUACGUUCUUUUUCUGAUUAUAGUGAUGAUUCGAAUUUGUGGAGUGAAAUUUUGGAUUUAGAUUUUUUUGUUGUGCAAAAAAAUCUUAAGGACUUUAGUCAACUGAUUUGUACCAAAACAUCUUUUCGUGGUUAUGAUCGCUUCUCCCAUCUGUCCUUGCACGUGUUGCUAUGAAUCACCUGGAAUUUUUCGUAAUCUCGUUUGCCUGGCCGAGUUGGCCAGCCAGCGCGACUAUGUUUUUCAAGUAUUAUAGUUCACUGGCCGACUGCAAAUAUUUCAGAUCCCUACAAACUCCACGCCCCUUGGCUAAACUUGCUGCUCUUGCUCUUCUUGCUUUACUCUCUAAUAAUGAACCCAAUGCGGUACACUCUGACUUUAGUAUUGUGCAUACGUUUGUGAAUUUUCUCAGAGUGAAUCGUUUAAUGUCAAUUUUGAUCUUCAAAGGAUGACUUGCUUUCAGAAAAAAAGAGAGAAAGAAGAAUAAACAAAUUUUCAAUGAAAUUUAGCUGAGGAAAGAGGGUAAUAUUAAUGGCGUUUUUACUAAAGAAACACUUUGCCAGUGCCUGAAAGAGUUGGAAAGACAAUCGACUGAACUUUUAAGCGUUGCGGCGC